rnacentral:lncRNA from 1 species
GUAUUUCCGCGGGCGCUGAGCACUAGAGAGAGCGUCUUGUGGCUGCGGCCUGCCCCUCAGCCUCCUCCGCGCGGUUACCCCUGUACCCGCCGCCAUCCGUCCUGGCGCUCCGGAUGAGUCAAUGAGGGGCAGGGCCCGAGGAGUGGUCUUCCCAAGAACCCCUGGUGGCCUCCCAAGGCCGGUGCUGUGUACCUCCUCCCCGACAAAAGGGGAAACUGAGGCCCCGAGGGGAGUGGGAAGAGCCGGCUGGACGUCAGGCCCAGCCGCUGGUGCAGUGGUCCGUCCCCUCUGCCGGGGUGGGCCCCUCGGGUUUCGCGUGUCCUCGGGAAAGAGACUGGCGGGCCUCGUGGGCUGUGCGGCUAUCCUGGAGACAGAUGACAGCUCUCCCUUGGAUGGCUUUGCUGGUUCCGCACCAGCCAGCGCCCCCAUUUUUCCUGCAGCACCCUGAUCUGCACUCCCUGAGGGGCUCCCACUGUCCGCGGUGUGAGGAUGUCCCUGGUCCACUGUGUGCAGAGGCAUGGGAGUUGUCAUGUUGGGAACAUGCUAGACCUCAGUAUCCUUGAGGGAUGCUGCCUUGGGUCUGGAAACUGUUAGAGGAAACCCCAAGAGGUGCAGGCACUGAGCCUCUCAGGACAAUGACCUGGGGUCCCAGCUCCCCUGGAGGGGCCUCCUCAUGAUUGUUUGGGGGUUGAUCACAGACCAAGAGUGACGAGUGAUGUCACCCUGUGACUCAUGGCUGGACCUUCUUGCCCCUAUUGUCUCAGCACAACAUUAUUCGACUUUUCCCUCAGCGUGGGUGGGCAGAGGAAAAGCCCUGUGGCUCUGGGGACUUGGGAUCCAGAGUUGAAGACCCUUCAGCUGGCUCUGCCCUGCCAGUGCCACAGAGUGCCAUGGCCCAGGAAGACAGGUUUUCUUCCAUCUAGGCCAGGCCAUCCAGUGGCCAUCCUCCGUGUCCUCCCGCCUCCUCCUGGUGUGACUUCUGAAAACCAAGAAUUUGUUCCUGUUGACUUUUUCUGUGCUAUGGACCAUUGUCCUCUCACCCACUCAAUAAAUCUUGAAACAUGC